UACAGAGGGUGCAAGCGUUAAUCGGAAUUACUGGGCGUAAAGCGUGCGCAGACGGUUGCGUAAGUCAGAUGUGAAAGCCCCGGGCUCAACCUGGGAAUUGCAUUUGAGACUGCGUAGCUAGGGUGCGGAAGAGGGAAGCGGAAUUUACGGUGUAGCAGUGAAAUGCGUAGAUAUCGUAAGGAAGACCAGUGGCGAAGGCGAAUCUCUGGACAGUUACUGACACUGAGGCACGAAGGCCAGGGGAGCAAACGGG
rnacentral:rRNA from 1 species